rnacentral:lncRNA from 1 species
GAUCCUCAUAAGAAUCCAAAAUCUGAAAUAUUCUUACCACCCUAAUUUUACAAAUGAGGAAACUGAGGCACAAGGCAGUUAAGUCACUUGCCCAAGGUCAUAUGGCCAGUAAGGGGAAAGGCUGGAAUUCAAACCCAGGCAGUCAGGCCACAAAAGCCACCCUGAGCAGACAUCACACCAGAAAGUCAGUCAAUAUUUGCCUAAGGGCCGCCCUGUGGCUGAGUGGUUAAGUUCGUGCACUCAGCUUCAGCAGCCCAGGGUUUCGCCGGUUCAAAUCCUGGGCACGGACGGGGCACCGCUCAUCAGGCCACACUGAGGCAGCGUCCCACACAGCAGAGCCAGAAGGACCCACAACUAAAAUAUACAACUAUGUACUGGGGGGCUUUGGGAGGAAGAAGAAAAAAAAGAAGAUUGGCAAGAGAUGUUAGCUCGGGUGCCAAUCUUAAAAAAAAAAAAAGGAAAAAAAAGUUAGAUUUUAAUACUUGCCUAAAAUUAAUCAAGAAAACAGCAAGGAACAGCAUGUUCCUUAGAAAUACGGAGGAAAGUACCAGAAGAAACAGCUAAAAGAGUUGGACGUGGGCUGUUUUGGGGAGCAGAGCCGGAAAUGGGAAGGACAGAGCAAAGGGGUGUUUUUCUUAGUGCUCUUUAAUUUAUGUAGAUGCACAGAUAGAUCCAUGAGGUGGGGACAGGAACUGACAGCGAGGGGACACGAGGGAACUUUCUGCGGCGAGGGUGCUGCUCUGUAUCCCGGCUGGGGUGUGGGGUACAGUAUGCACGGUCUCAACUCACAAAUGGUACCUUUAAGAUCUCUGCUUUUCACUGCAUGUAAAUUUUACCUCCCGCCCCCUGCAAAAAAGAGAAAAAAGAACUGUAAACAAAUAUUGAACUCCAGCUAAAGUGCCUUUAAGAGAAGGCCACUGAUGUUUGCAACUUUCUUUGGAAAGCUUCAAAAAAAUAAGUUGUCUGACUAGAUGGAUAGAGGGAUAGAUAGAGGCCUGAUAGAGAAAAUCCAGCGAAAUAUUAAGAAGUGUGCCUCUAGUAGUAUACCUCUGAGUAUACCAG